GCCCCGGCCGCAGGGCGUGGCUCUCCGCGGCGACCCGGGCGGCCUCCGCGCGCCGGGACAAAGGCGCGGCCCCGGGGCCCCGCCAACGCGCAGGGGACACCCGGGGCGGGCGCGGGGGCGCAGAAGCGCGCCCAAAAGCCGCAGGGAACCCCUGGGCGGGGAGGAGGCCUCGAGGGCCGCCGAUUCCCCCCCCUGCCCGGCGAGCCGCCCCGUGCCUCCAACUUUAGGUCGGUGAACUUGAAAACAAACCCUGACGUUCCGCCUCCCGAGCGAGUCCAAAGGCGCCCAGGAAGAAAGUGGGGGGCGGAGGGGGGGAGAGUGCGGCCUUGGGGGAGUCGGCCACCCGUUGGCACCGCGCGUCCUUCUUGCCCGGGAGCAGGGCCCGGGGGUCCCCGGCGCGCCCCCCUUGUGCGCAAACCCCGACCCACACACAGGGCGACCCCCAAAGUAGCCUGCCCCCAAGUUACGUCCCCCACACAGCGCGCCCCCCCAAGUCCACCCCCCGUAGUGCGACCCCCAAAGUCCGUCCCCCACACACGGAGGUCGCCUCAGAGUUCGCCGCACGCACCCCUGCGGCCCUUCCCCAGGGUCCCCGCGCGUGUCCCCAAGGCCGGCCCGCGCCCCCGCGGGCCCCACUGCCGCCGCUCACUCACCCGGGGUGGGCGGCACGGUGCCCAGCAGGGCGAGCAGCAGCAGCACGAGGGCGGCCCAGCGGGCCAUGGUGCGCCGGGAACCGCACGGGGAGCGUCCCUGGAGUGGCGCGCGGACGGCGGCGGCGGGAGGGACACCCCCACGGGCGGGGCCGGCGGUGGAACCCGGAGAGGGUGCGGCGCGGUCGCCCCGCCCCGGGCCCCGAGCUCUCCCCGCCCGUGGACCUCCCAGCCCGGGCGCCGGGGAGGGGCGGGGACUGCGACUCCUGCGCCGCGCGGGGAUCGGCAGCGGCCGCUCGCCCCCUGCCAGCUGUCUCUACCCGGGACCCCCAGGGCGGCCUCUCUGGGUGGCCGAGGGAAGCCCCCCUCGCUUCUUGUCAAGGGUGCCCGGGGCGCCGCGGAUGCAGCAGCCCGCGCGCUCUGGAGUCAGUCAGUCUGCAGCUGCCCGGAGCCGAGCACAGGCCGCGAUUCAGACCCGAGUCCCCUCCUGCGUCAAGGCAGCCGGUGCCCGGGGUGGGGGUGGGGGUGGGGGUGGGGGCGGGCGGUGUCCCUGGCGACCGUCUCCGGCCACAGCAGCAAUGCGGGUGCUGUUCCCUGUCCCGGGGCACCCUUGCUCUCUGAAUGCCAGGCCUGGAGGUUUUAUUUAUGUAUGUCCACAUGGAGGCAUUUUGAAGACUUCUCUAAUUCAGUAAGAGGACUUGGCUUUUGCAAAAACGAGCUGCCAUCCUUGGCGGAAAAUAAAAAAUUUCUAUAA
rnacentral:lncRNA from 1 species